AACAGGAUUAGAUACCCUGGUAGUCCACGCCCUAAACGAUGUCUACUAGUUGUCGGGUCUUAAUUGACUUGGUAACGCAGCUAACGCGUGAAGUAGACCGCCUGGGGAGUACGGUCGCAAGAUUAAAACUCAAAGGAAUUGACGGGGACCCGCACAAGCGGUGGAUGAUGUGGAUUAAUUCGAUGCAACGCGAAAAACUUUACCUACCCUUGACAUGUACGGAAGCCACGAGAGAUCGAGGUGUGCUCGAAAGAGAACCGUAACACAGGUGCUGCAUGGCUGUCGUCAGCUCGUGUCGUGAGAUGUUGGGUUAAGUCCCGCAACGAGCGCAACCCUUGUCAUUAGUUGCUACGAAAGAGCACUCUAAUGAGACUGCCGGUGACAAACCGGAGGAAGGUGGGGAUGACGUCAAGUCCUCAUGGCCCUUAUGGGUAGGGCUUCACACGUCAUACAAUGGUACAUACAGAGGGCCGCCAACCCGCGAGGGGGAGCUAAUCCCAGAAAGUGUAUCGUAGUCCGGAUUGUAGUCUGCAACUCGACUGCAUGAAGUUGGAAUCGCUAGUAAUCGCGGAUCAGCAUGUCGCGGUGAAUACGUUCCCGGGUCUUGUACACACCGCCCGUCACACCAUGGGAGCGGGUUUUACCAGAAGUAGGUAGCUUAACCGUAAGGAGGGCGCUUACCACGGUAGGAUUCGUGACUGGGGUGAAGUCGUAACAAGGUAACC
rnacentral:rRNA from 1 species